UGCCAGCAGCCGCGGUAAUACGGAGGAGGCAAGCGUUGUUCGGAAUCACUGGGCUUAAAGAGUGUGUAGGCGGGAUAGAAGGUACCAUAGUGAAAGCCCUCGGCUCAACCGAGGAACUGCUUGGUAAACCACUAUUCUUGAGGCCGACAGGGGUACCUGGAACUUUGGGUGGAGCGGUGAAAUGCGUAGAUAUCCAAGGGAACGCCGGUGGCGAAAGCGGGGUACUGGGUCUUUACUGACGCUGAGGCACGAAAGCUAGGGGAGCGAACGGGAUUAGAUA
rnacentral:rRNA from 1 species